GCAAGCAUAGUAACAUAAUUGGUGAGGGACUGAGGGCAAAACAAAGCAACGCACCUCAAUCCUAUAAUACAAUAAUGCAGCGUGGGGAAAGAGGAAAUGAUUUCUGAGAUCUGGCUGCCAUUUUGCAUAUCUAAUUAGUGGUUCUUGGUCAAGAAAGGCCGUGUUUUAACCCCUCAUGCUGAUUAUUGUGUUCCUGGGAUUACUCGAGCAACUAUUAUGGAGCUUGUUGUAAAGGAAAAAUUUGAGCUAGUGGAACGAAGAAUUAGCUUAUCUGAGUUCCAUGCAGCAGAUGAGGAACAUGGCCACAAUAAAAAUAGGAACAUGGCCUUAAUAAAAACAGGAACAUGGCCUUCAUUUGUCCAACCAGCCUGAAGCUAAAAGAAAAAGGGUGUUUGAUUUGUUGGUUUUUAGUGGCAUAACAGAACAUGGCCUUAAUAGUGUUGAAAAUGUGGAAAUUUGAGUCAACAUAUUGCUAUGCCGCCCCCACUUGAGCAAUAAAAUUUUAUUGCUGCUGUAGUAGUUUGUAUUGAUGAUCUUUUUCCAGUUUCAUGUUGUCCCUGAAUUGUUCUCAAGUCAUAGUAGCGUUGUCAAUAUAUGCAUUAUUCUGAACACAUCAUUGAAAUGUAAAACCAUUACUUGUGUAAUAGUUACAUAAGUCAUAUAUUAUUAUUCUGAACAGUCACUGUUGUUCCAGUAAAUUGAUGUUCUAUGUGGAAUUUUGUAGGUAUUGGACCGUUAGCUACCGAUUUGCUCUAGACAUAAAUCGUUGGCAAGCUGAAGCUGUAGUUGCAAUUCAAGAGGUUUGGUAACUUAUCCAACCUUCUAAACUAAAGAAAAAUUGUAAGACUUCAAAAUCAAAUACAGAGAAACACAAUAAAACACAUACAUGCUGAUUUUUUGCAUAUGGUUGUGGAUGUGUUUGGUCUGUUGUAAAUCAUGCUUCCUGGCCUUCAUAUUAUCAUGAAUGCAUACGUUAGAUUGCUAAUGUUCACAUGCAAGUUAUUUUACCCUUAUUAUCAUGUAUGAAUCGG